CCCCUUCCCACCCUCAACAGCGAAGAGCACACAUGGAUACCGCCGUCUUCUCCCCCGCCGAUCUCUUCCACGGAGUCGACGACAGCGACGACGACCGAGAUGAGAUGCAAAUCUGCUCCGAUGGGGAGAAGCCGGUGGCGUUGGAGUAUCAGGAGAGAGUCCACGACUUCCCUGACAUGGUUGAGCCAUUACGCAGUGAAAGCUGCUGACUUGUGACCACAAGGUCCUGUGUCUGAGUUGUGGAAGCCUCUUGCAAAUGCAGGGAAAGGCCGUGUACUAUAGACCUAAUAGAAACUGAGUGUAAGGGAGUUCUCAUGUCAUGAGCUUAACGCCAACCUGUUGUGGCCGGGGACAUUUUCAUUUGCUACUUGGCUGGUUAAGAACCGGUCAAUUUUGGAUGGACGACGAGUCCUGGAAUUAGGAAGUGGGACAGGAGCGCUUGCGAUCUUUCUUAGGAAGGCAUUUGAGGUGAACAUUACAACCUCUGAUUAUGAUGACGGCGAAAUUGAAAAGAAUAUAUCUUACAAUUGCAGAGCGAAUGCCUUAGAUGUGUUACCUCAUAUUAGACACACGUGGGGAGAUCCAUUUCCAGUUUGCACACCAAAUUGGGACAUUGUCAUUGCAAGUGAUAUCCUACUCUAUGUCAAACAGUAUGACAACUUGGUCAAGACAGUGUCCUUUCUUUUGAAUGAGUACAAGCAGAAGGAUCACAAAUCUGGCUGCAUAACCAUCACUGACAAAUCAGGGACACAAAUAUCUGCAAAACCACCGGUGUUUCUAAUGAGCUGGCGCAGAAGAAUCGGCAAGGGUCAUCAAUCACUCUUCUUCGACGGGUGUGAGAAGACGGGCCUGCAAGUGCAGCACCUGGGUGAUCUUGUGUACCUUAUUAGCAAUAAACAAGAGGCGGAUUUUGUGGAAACGAAGUCAGACGGUGGCAGUAGUGAGGGGAUGAUUUUUUGAGUAGGUUUUGUUAAGUCAUAUUUUGUUCAAUUUCCCCCAAACACUUGAUUUUUUGUUUCUCUGAUUCUAUUUGGGAUAUUCUGUUUGAUUCUGUUGCAAGAUUGUUUAUGC